UUUUGAGGGGAGGGUGAGGGCUGUAGGGGUCAGGCAAGUUAUGGAAUGCGGGAGUCCUGGGGUGCUUUGGGGGGUAUAGGGCUCAGGCAGGUUCUGGAGGAUUUGGGGCUCCCUAGAGGGACCCAUGGUGGGUCAGUCUGGUCGUGGGCUGCGGGGUUGUAGGAAGAGUUGUGGUGCUGUGGGGGCACAUGGGGACUCAGGCUGUUUAUGGAGUGGAGGGGUUGCCAGAGGACAUGGGGUGCUAUGAAGCAGGGGGUCUCCGGUGGGGUCAGGCUGGAUGUGGGGUGAUCUGCGGGAACCAGGGGUACCCGUAGAGGUCAGGCUGGAUGUGAGGUGGUUUAGGGUGCUCAAGGGUUUGGGGGGGCUGGGGAUGUCAGUCUAGAUGUGGGGGACCCACGGUGACUGAAGUGUGAAGCAGGGGGUUGUGGAGAAAUGGGGGAUGUUCAAGGGACUGGACGAGACUAGGGAAGCACCUGCAGCGCUCUCUGGAAGCUAUGGGGCAGAAAGGAAGUGAGGUGCUCUGGAGUGGGGAGAUUUCCAGUAGGGUCAGGCUGGGUGUGGGGGGAAUGGGGUGCACUAGAGCUGUCCUGGAGACUCUGAGUUGGGGCUGCCGGGGAGGAUGUGGGGUGGAGGGCCACCCACAGUGGUUUCAUGCUCAAGAGGUGGAUGGGGCCCUGCCUCACGGGGAGUGACCAGCCCUGGGAUGUCUCCCCCCAUGCUGUUGUUUCCUCUGGUGCAGUGGAGGGGAAAAGGCAGGUGCAGCCUCGGGGAGUGCGCACCCCACACUCACGGCAGCAGCACUGGUUUCCCUUUCUGGGAGGUGGCAGCUCCCGCUUUGGCAUUUGGGUCCAGCUCUGUUUCCUGGAGCAUUCGGUGUUGCUGGGGCUGUGCCAGAGAUGCAGCAGCUCAGCCUGUGGCUUCGGGGUGGCCGCGAUCUCUUCCCGAGACACCGUCUGUGCCCGCCGGACGGUUCCCAAAGCCGGCGGCAGUGGCCGAGCUGCGGGGCGGCGGGGGCUUCUCCUGACGUCGAUCCCAGUCCUGGCGCCGGUCGGGGCCGCGCUGAAGCCUCCCAUCGACUUCCCCACGCCCGUGGGGGGGUCGAUGUCUUCACGUCCCCUCCUCGACGGGAACACUUUGCGCUGAUGUUGCAACCACAGGCGUGUGCGGCGUGCCCGGCGGUUCCUGCAGUCUCUUCCUCUCCUGAAUUUCGCCCUUCUGCAGUCGUGGUGGGACGAGAGGCUUGUGAACCUGCCCGUUAGUCCGUGCCGUUGGCUGUGCCGGUGGCGGGUCCGAGCGGCUGCUGGGAUGGCAGGGGACAGCGGGGGACAGUGACUAUCUUUAGGGCUGUGUUGCAAUGGAGGGGUGUGCCUUGGCUCGGCGCUGCCGGCAGCCGCCUCCUCGCCCGAGGAUUGACUUACUCCGAGGCUCUCGCAUGGGGAAAACCAACACUUGCUCUGCGGUUUGUGUGAGCAGAAGGAGGGGGGCUGUGGUGGGGCUCUGAGGCUGAGCCAGGGGUCUGACAGUAUGGGGGCUGGUGUCAGUCACACAGGGCCUGCAUGAGGUCAGGCUGUGUGAGGUGUGCAGGGCCGAGGUUUGGGGUGCACCGUCGGCCCCGGCACUGUCACGUGUCACACAUGCUCUGCCACUGCCUGGAAGUGGGAACACCUGAGCUGGAGCAAACGGCCAGCAUGGGAAAGGUUGAUGGUGGAGGGAAUCUCUUCUGCCUCCUGGGAGAGAAGUUGCCCUGGAGCACGGGAGCAAGUUGGGUUCUUGCAAAGUGCAUCCCAGAACGUUCCCAUCCCUGUGCUCCCUUCCUGAGGCUUAGUGGAAGCACAAAUGCAGCUGUAGGAGAGAGCCAGAGUCAGGUCUCUUUUGAGUCCUGUUUCUGCCAGAGUAACCUGGUUAGUCCGUGGGAAUAACUUGCACCAGAGUUGGGGUGACAUGGAACCGAGGCUCUGUGUUUGGCCUCUGAGCCAUUGUCCUGCUCAUGGCCACUAUGCCUGAGGUGGUGCAGCUGCACCAUGCCUGUCUCUGAGAGGAGGCAGCUGAAACUUGUGGAACAAUUUGCAUCCCCCCACGAGUACAGUUCCUCUCCCAGUUCCAGGGCCUGUAUAGACGUGGGUCUCCUACAGUUCAUGGUGCUGGCAGCCCCUCAGUUUCUCUGACAAAGUGGGGCACGUGCUGCUUCUGCUUGUGGUGAUGAUAACGGCAAAUCGGCAGAAGCAAAAAGUUGAUCUGUGCAUCAAACUGCUUCCCAUGGUUGUGCUCAACAUGUUCUGUGGAUGUGGGUCUCUCCUGUCCCUUCACUUUGCUUCUCCUCACGCUUAGGAGCAACUUCAGGCCUUUCCAAGCGGGCUUGAAACCUGCUGAAGACAGAAAGUGCCUUCUCAUCUGCAGCAGUGCUGCUGGGAUGAGGCUCCCUCUUCCUGACGCGCAGCCUGGCAGCUGCUGGAAUUGCCUGCAGCCGCAGUGCUCCGCACCGCGCGUCCCCCCAGGCUGGCAUGGUCCUUUCAGAGCCAAUGGUGGGGAAAGGAUUUCUCAGAGAAAAGGCAAAACAUCAGCUGUUUUUCAAGGAGGGUACUUUGGAGUUAUAUCACUGAUUUAAUAUAUAGCAAGGUUUUUCUGAGUUCCCUCCCUAGCUAUUCCCCAGAGGGAAAGGCAAGUUGCAGGUGGUCCCUGUCCCAGAGGGCAGGAAUUGUCCUGUCUCUGCUAAGCAGUGUUUCACCUUUGUGCUCACAGCUGCAGGAAGAGGCUUGAGGCUGUGGUGGCUGGAAGAGUCAUAAUUGGCUCUUGGCGACUCUGGAUGCUGUGGUUGGAGGUGUGAUUUGGGAAGAGGGUGGACUUGCCCAUCAUUAGCCCAGAAGUGUCUCUCACUGAGCUGCCCAGGAAAGAGGGGGAUGUCUUGGUUGUCCUUUUUAUGAGUUUUGCUUCAUGCAGUGAUUUGAGUGAGCUCUGUGCUGGGAUUCCCCAGGAAAGGCUGCAGUUAGUUUUCCCUAUUUAGCCUGGGACUAGCACCCGGUGGAUAAGCAGUCUCACUCAGCAGUUAUUCCAAUGAGGCCAUGAUGGUUCGGGUCCCUCAUAUUGGGACUUUGUCAUGCCAUCCCAUUCUGAGCUGGUGGGAACAGCCAGGGUGGGCUGGCUGGGGCUGUGGGGUCUGGCCAGAGCAGCCACCACGGCUGCCCAUCUCUCCCCACUAGAGGCUGCUGAUGACCAGAGCAUUUUCCAUCUCUGCUCUGAGAAAGCUCCGGGGUCUGGAAUUUGCAGGGCCGAGCAUCCUGGCCUGAGCUUUUCCUGCUGAUUCACCCUGGAGACAGCAGUGCACUUGGCAAUGGUUGGGUUCAGGGGGCACAUCUGCUCCCCUGCCAGGCUUACAAUAGAUCUCCCUACUUCAUUAAGUCUUAAUUAGGUAAAUGCACUGGGACCACGGGAGUCCAUUGCCAGGGAACAUGGGUCCUGCGUGGAGCUGGGUACCAGGGAUGCCGGCUACCAUCCUGCCUGCCUCAGGGGUUUUUCCAGCUGGGUGCUGAAUGUGGAAUGAGUUCAGGCUCUUGUGUUGUUUUCCCAGAGGAUGUGUGCACAGCGAUAAGAGCUUCAGCCCUCUGGCAUAAAUCAGUUGGCAGAAAAGCCAAGGAUUAGUUAAGCCAUGGAAAGGAUCCUUCACCUCUGGGCACAGCCAUGGUAAAGCCAUCCUGUAGACACAAACAAGAGUCUUAGUGCAGGCCACCAAACAGGUGGGCAGGAUGGGUUGGAAAACAGAGACCCUGGGAAGAUCGUUAAUCACAAAACAAUGCAGUGUAAAAUGAAAGGCAGUGGCUGCUGCAGUGAAAGUGCAGGGAAGGAGUCUGUGGAGUUGCACAAGCCCUGCUGCCCUUGUUGAUGCAGGCAGUGCUGGGUGGGCAAAGUGGUGCCAGCUGGCUCUGGCACAGGGCACAGCUUCCCCCGACAAUAGCAGAGCAGUGCUUUACAUAAUCUGGGACUUGCCAAACAAGCUUCAACGUCUGGAAAAUCCUUCUGCUAUUGUUCAUGCUCAAAGUUUGCUAAAUUUCCUGGUUUGAUCUGCAGGGCUGGAUUUUGCUCUGGGACCACAGUGGGGGAAAAUGCUCUUUGCCCAGAGGGAAGAAAAGGGUGUUUGUGGCGUUUAAUCCAUUCUCUGUAGAUGAAACUAUUUUUGUGGUUCACAAGAGGUUCUGAGCAGCUGUUCGCAGCUUUGCAGGGCUGCAGGACUCUCUGUCUAUCCAAUUAGUAUGGUUUGUGUCUAGACCCCUCCUGAUGCCCACCCCCCUCCCACCCCACCCCGGGAAAAGCCUGGACUACCAGAUGAGGAUGGGGCGCCAUGGGCAGGGCUCACACAAACAUCAUCUGGGCUCCCAGCUCAGAGCCUGUGUCAGGACACAAAUGCCGUGUCGGGACAACUUUUUGCUGUCUUAACCUCUCAGACCCUGAGGCUUCAGGAAGGCUCCAAAACUGCCACUCGUUGGCAGAUUUUAGGAGAAGAGGUGUGAUGGGAACUUGGGGUGUCUUGUUGUGCUGUGUCAACCCUGGUGGUGACUUCCUGGUGAUUUGUGGCAGCUGGGAACCCCUCUGGAAAUAUACUGAUGCUGUGGGAGCCACCCCAGGCCCAUCCCAGCCUGUGUAAGGCUGGAUGUGUUUCCUGGCCCCUGAGAAGUGUUUUGGGGUAUGGGGCCUGCCCUUGCUCCUCCAUUUGCUCACCCCCAAGCCCUUUGCCAACACAAAUAAAGUCCCCAUAUGCUAUUCAAUUAAACAAAGAAAUCCUGCUCGUUUGUGGAUACAUGUUCUCUGGUCAUUUGUGGAUAAAUGAUUGAGAAACCCAACUUUUCUUUCCAUUCCUUGGAAGGGCAGGUUUUGUAACAAGGAAUGGGGUGAAGUUCUUACUGGUCCACUUACUGUGAGGCAAGCUUUUGACCCCUGGAAAGCAGCAGAGGAGAUGGAACCUCAGCCUAACAGUAUGAAUACAUCUUCUUAUUAGACUUGGCUUUGAGUGCCUUUUAUGUAGGUAAUUACAUCUGGCCACAGAUGUAAUUGACCAGAGCUGUAUUUAAGGAGGGGAUAUAAGGCUUGGCACAUGCUGGGAGCCUUCAGAGUUGACUGCAGUGGCAUUAUAGCAAUCUGGUAGGUGUUGCUAACAAGGCAGUACAGGGCAGCUACAGGGAAGCUCUGAGCCUUAGGGCCUGGAAAACUUGGUGUUGGCACUGAUUUCAGCUUUGUGGAGGGAAGUGGGGUGGACUGGUGCCUCAAAGCAUCACCAGGGUGUUAAGGCAGCUGUGUAUCAUCUUGAAUGUGACCUCCGUGACCUGAUCUCUGAUUGCUGUGGUGGUUUAGGUGCUCACUGGAUAGUACCAGCCAUCCAAGGGCUUGUAUUUUUGUAUCCACUUUCCAAAACCCCUUGGAGAUGGAUAAGCUGCUUGUAGGCACUUCAGAACUUGAAGGGAGCCCUUUGUCCCUGCUGAGGAUAUGUAUUGGACAGGACAGCAUGAGUUGCCUCCCUGCCCCUGGGUGAACUCAAACGUUGAGUGUGGGAAUGAGGAAGGGCAGAUGUUAGCCUGGCACAGAGCCACGUUGAGCUGUAAGGUGACUUUUGCCUCUGUGUUGAUGUUGGUGUCUGACCUGGAGGUGAACCCCUCCCAUAUGGCCAGGGUUGGCCAAUCCGCGGCUGCUCAGAGGCUCACAGGAUGGCAGAUGGGGUCAGCACUGCUCGAGAAUUUCCUUGGGUACAGAGUGAAGGCUUUUAAAUAGCAAACACAGUCAUGUGCAUCAUGACAUGGCACUUGGCCCUGAGGAUCCAUUGGCAGCUGGGCACUGGCUGAGCAAUAUGUCCACACCUGCUGGAAUAUUUUUUAAGUGUUAAAGUAAAAUGAUUUUGAGUACAAAUGAAAUAAGACCUAAACCUGUUGCUGGUGGGUUUGAAGUGCAGGUCCUCCCUGAGAGGUAGUCUGGAGAAACCCUGCCUUUCUUGGGUAGGUUAUGUGGCCCCAUCCCAGUGUGCUGUGCUGAUAGAUCCCAUGCCUCCGCUGGGUGCCAAGACUUCAGCCUUCUAGGAAAAACAGCAGGAGCCAGUAUGGGUUUUCUUCUGCCAUCCCUUGGGCACCUGGUGCUGUGUGAGCAGCGUCCAGAGUUGCAGAUGGCUCAUGUUGUGGUUGCAGUACUGCUUGGUCCAUCUGAGCUGCCUUUGAGUGGGAACACACGAGAUAUGCAAGUUAAGAAUUGAUCUGUGGUGCUGACCAGGAUUUAUUUUGGUGCUGCUGCUUUUUCUUCUGCUGUAGCAUGAAGUGAAUGUGAUUUCGGCAGCUGCCUGGCUCUGCCAGUUUGCAUCCUUCCCUCCCUACAAAUUGUCUUCAUCCUGCUCAGCUUCCUGACCCCUGUCCUAGUCAAUACAAGGCUGUUAUUGGAGCUCCGCAAGCCAUGAUGAUCACAUCCAAGUGCUGGACCUCAAACUACCUGGCAAUGCUGGGCUGGAUGAAGAAGCUCAUUUGCAUUGGGUGGUUAAUUCUCUGUAUGCUUUAAUCUCUGUGACCAUCUGUGUUCUUUCCCAGGCUGGGGAAUUGGGAGCUCUUUGGAUUUUCCCAGGAGGUGAACAUAGAGAGGACUGCUUAUUAUGGCUAUGCUGAAAACUGCCCAGGGUCAGAGUAAGACAUCCUCAUUAGCUCUGGGAGCAGUUGUUCUGCACCUUUGUGUCACCAACAUGUUUUAUGAAAAAUCCUUUCCUUAGGAUUUUUCCUCCUGAGAAGCUGAGAGGCCUCAGGAACAAAAUGUAAACAAUGAUUAUCUGCUGCUGUGGAAUGCAACAGGUGGAUCUGUGAUUGGUCUCAUGUGGUUGUUUUUAAUUAAUGGCCAAUCACAGUCCAGCUGUCUAGACUGUCUCGCUCAGAGACAAACCUUUGUUAUUGAUUCCUUUUCUAUUCUUAGCAAGCCUUCUGAUGAAAUCCUUUCUUCUAUUCUUUUAGUAUAGUUUUAAUAUAAUAUGUAUCAUAAAAUAAUAAAUCAAGCCUUCUGAAACAUGGAGUCAAGAUUCUCAUCUCUUCCCUCAUCCUGGGACCCCUGCGAACACAGUCACACCUUUGGGCAAGGAGGCAUUGAUGUGUCAACUCUACUCUGAAGGAGCAUCUCAAGGAGAUGCACAGCGGAGACGGGGGCAAAGACUAAAAAUGGAAACCUCUGUGAAUGCUCUCCAGCAUUCAGUCCCAAACAUGGAGGGUCUGUGACCAGUUUGGCCGACAUCUUGGAGGGCUGAGGUACCAGGGAAGGCUGUGUUGGUCUGAGGAGAGAUAGUACACUAAAGCAUCUCCUGGUCAUCUGAAAAACCCUGCCAGGUUUUGGCAACCUCUGGGGUGUACCUCAUCAGCAGCUACUGCUGUGUCUGUCCUGGUGAACUGAUUGAUUUGAGCCUCAAAAUCUGCUUUGGAGACUGGGGUGCUCACACACAGCACCAAAAUAAGGGGACCGGUGCCUACAGGUGAGCAGCACCUGAACUUUCCCCGUUUUGUUUUCUCACAUUUGGAGCAUGAGGCUCUGCAGACCAUUUGCAGCCCCAGCUGGGAUCCUGCUCACCAUGGACAGAGGUGACACUGGCUGUGGGCGCUUUUGAGGAAUGCCUGACCUGUGGGGCAGCAUGGCCCUGCGGAGGCUGCUGCUGGCAUCCAAACCCUGGAGAAACCCUGCCUUUCUUGGGUAGGUUAUGUGGGAAUGAUUCCUGCCCUGUAAUUAGGCUCUUCUGCUCCUGUUCACCACACUAAUGAGCUGUCUCAUGGAUGUGCUCCUCAAAGCUGCUCUGGAGCCUCUGUGUGGCUCAGAAGCUGAAGGUGACUUUCCAAGAGAGCCACCUGCAAAGGGCAAGAUCUCCAUUCCUAUCACGUUGGGGUGAGGUACGUGGGCUGGGAACCUUUGACUGUGAAGGCUUUUCCCUGACUACACCCUGUGUGCUGUGAAUUCUUCUGCCAUUGUACACCCUAGCUUCUUGGUGAGGAGAGCCCUUCCUGCUGUUCAUGCUUGCAAGGCUGGGCAAGAGGAAGGGGCUUACCAGCCUUCAGCUGAGGGACUGAGGCUGCCUCUUGAAAGGAGAGCUGGUUUCUACCUGCAUCCAGGCUGGAUAAUAACACUUGAAAAAUAAAUGGUGCUCCAUCUGGUCUCCUGGUUCAGUAGUUUGGGUUUUUAGUCUUGAUGGAGAUGAUGGCACCAGGACUGUAGGCAUCAAGGUGCAUCCCAAAGGAUGGGUAUAGGCUUGUGCCCAAAUUUCCACCUGGUCUAGUGGAAGGUGUCCCUGCCUGUGGCAGUGGGUUGGAAUGAGAUGAGCUUUAAGGUCUCUUCCAACACAAACCAUUCCAUGAUUCUGUGAUUCUCUGGCAUGGCAGGGUGACUGUUGAGUCCAACUUGUGCCACGAGUGUUCGACUGUGUGCUUAUGUGAGGCAGGUCCCUGUACCUUCAGUGGGGCUGUUGCAUGGGCUGGGGAUCUGGCUGAAUUUCAGACCCUGGUGUGUGCCCACCGGAGCACACAGCCAGCCUUGUCGCGGCUGGGAGCACCGUUGCUCUCUUGAAUCUCUUCAUUUACUUAAUGAUCCUUUUGUUGAGAGGAUUAGGGUUUAGUAGCCUCUGGCCGAGUAGUAAUUAAAUUAAGGCUCUGGUGUUUUGUGGAAUUUUUGAAGCCCACUAGAGGGCUCAGUUGGAGGCCUGUGGAGCCGGGACCGGCGGCGCUGGGCUGUGUCCAGCUCUUCAGAAGUUUACACGAGAAGUUAUGUAAGUCCGGAGGAGCUGGACGGGCGCAGAAGUUGUACGGGGCCAGCCCGCAGCGUCCACGGAGCCCGCUGCUCCUGCAGCCCGGUUGUGCCCGGAGCUCGGCAGAGCCCGGCCCGUGCCCACGCGAGGCGACUUGUGAAGAGCCUGCCUUUUACAGGCUGUCUGACAUCAAACCUUCAGCCUCUACCAAAGAAAGCCCCUCCAAAUGAAGUGUUUACAACGAUGUGGCAGUUCAGAGCAGAAGGUUAACAGCACUGCUUGAGUGCUCAUACAAUAGCAGAGCAUCUUCCUCCAGCAUCCAGGGAGCUCCCGAGGCACCUGCUGGCUCAGCAGAAUCGUCUUAUGGAAUAGCAAGGAAAGAAAAUUUAUUUAAAUAAAAACCUGCUUGUGGUUUGGC